rnacentral:rRNA from 1 species
AGGACGAACGCUGGCGGCGUGCCUAACACAUGCAAGUCGAACGGGGAUUUGUUUCGGCAGAAUCCUAGUGGCGAACGGGUGAGUAACGCGUAGGCAACCUGCCCUCCGGCCGGGGACAACACUCCGAAAGGGGUGCUAAUACCGGAUACGAAGUCUGUGCCGCAUGGUACGGAUUUGAAAGAUGGCCUCUAUUUAUAAGCUAUCGCCGGGGGAUGGGCCUGCGUCCGAUUAGCUGGUUGGUGGGGUAACGGCCUACCAAGGCGACGAUCGGUAGCCGGUCUGAGAGGAUGAACGGCCACAUUGGGACUGAGACACGGCCCAGACUCCUACGGGAGGCAGCAGUGGGGAAUCUUCCGCAAUGGGCGCAAGCCUGACGGAGCAACGCCGCGUGAGUGAGGAAGUUCUUCGGAACGUAAAGCUCUGUUGUUCCUGACGAACCUCCCCUCUAUCAACAACGGAGGGGACUGACGGUAGGGAACGAGGAAGCCACGGCUAACUACGUGCCAGCAGCAGC